AGUGACGUCACUGGCCAGGCCAGCCGGCGCCAUUUUGAAAGUGGAGUCGCCUUCCCCUGCCGCUGCCACCGCCGCCGCCGCCGCCGCUGCUGCUGUCGUAGCUGCCGCCGCCGCUGGAGAAAGAGCAAGAGCGGGGAAGCCUGAGUGAAAUCCACCAUCCUGCUGGCUGAUCUGCCCGCCCCUCCUUCCUUCUCCCCCAGCCCCCGCCCCCUCCCCCACAGGUGCCAUCCGCCGCCAUCCGCCCUCUCUACCCCCCCAGCCCCUGGUGAGGGGGGUGAGUUCAGGAAGCAGAGACCCCGAGGAACCCCGCAGGGGCACCAUUUGCAGCGCAACAUGGCAGGAGCUGGAGGAGGGAAUGAUAUUCAGUGGUGUUUUUCUCAGGUGAAAGGAGCAGUAGAUGAUGAUGUAGCAGAAGGUAAGAAAGUGUUUAAUAAAUGGAAAACUUUUCAAAAUCUUGUUUAAUGAAGAGUUUCCUUGAGGCUGAGUCUGUAAUAGUUUAAGAAAAUUUUGUGUUUAUUUGUCCAAGAAAUGUAAGAAAAAUUUUAAAAAUCAUUUUUCAGGAAAAUAGUCUUGACUCUUGGUCAAAUCUUUUUUUAAAAUUGAUACCUUGUUUUAUUAUUAUUUUCCUGAAUUCAAUGAAAGGAGCAGUAGAUGGUGGUAUAUAUGAAACCAUCACACAAAAAAUCUAAGGUCCACAUGGUAAAGGUUUGCUUGCUGUGUAUAUUUUAUGUACAAAUAAAUGGUGAUGCUUUUUCAUGUUCAUUCUUUGUUUUUAAAUAAUUAGGUUGAAAUAGGUGCUGUCACCAUUUAGCUCAGAAACAUUAUUGACAGCAUCUCAUAAUUUAUUUUGUGGAAAGCUUUUAAGCUUCUUUUGAACUUGGUGCUUUGGGACUGUGGUGUCGAUUGGCAUAUUCUAUGAAAUGCUGGCUCAAAUUUUGUAUUUUAUUGCAGAGAUUAAUUUAGGUGGAUAAGAACAUAACAAUAUUGUGAAUCUUGUCUUCUGGGGAGCUUAUAUUCCUAUGCACUUAGAAACUGAGUUUGAUCAUUUGGAAGUACUUAUGUCUAAUUCCCCCCACACACACACACACGAUUGUGUAUUAAUGUAUUUUUAAGAGUUUUAAGGUUUGGCACUCAAUUGAGAGAUGGUCUUAGGUGGUGGCGAUGGGGACAUUAUUUAUCAUUAAGUAGUUGCAUUACUUCAUUGGCCA
rnacentral:lncRNA from 1 species